rnacentral:misc_RNA from 1 species
AACUAGUUGAAGACUUGGUUGAAAUUUCAUUCGAUUGGUUGUCGGCGUAGUGUUUGAGCUGACUCUGAGCAGAAAGUGCUUUCGUAUGCAAAACGCAAGCCUGAGUGUCUAGAAAUGUGAAAUUUCAUGGAAGUUUNNNNAAGGUUUGGAAAAUCAUUAAUAAUUCAGAGACAUCAACUACAUAGUCAGCUCUAGUAAAAAGUAGUAAGAAGGAUCCAGGUUCAAAGUAUAAGCUUGUGCUUCCAACACACAACAUAUAUUAGGAAAGGUAGAAAACAAGCUGUAUGUAAAUUCUGGUUGCACGAUGGCAACUCUUAUAUGGUGAGAUGAGUAUCAUAGCUGUCGGUCAGUGAAUGAUGAGCAAGAUAAUUUAUUUGAAUGAAGAAUUUCCUCCAAUUAAAAUAAGCCCGCAUGCUGCCAUGGAAAAGUGAAGCGAAGCCCGGGAAUGCUCUCGAGACUACUUCCUUACCAACAAGAUAAG